rfam:Brassica oleracea var. oleracea cultivar TO1000 chromosome C4, whole genome shotgun sequence
AUAUGCCUGGCUCCCUGUAUGCCAUACACUAAGCUCAUCGACCAUCUCGAGGAUCUCCGUGGAUGGCAUAUGAGGAGCCAAGCAUAU